rnacentral:rRNA from 1 species
CAGUCGCCGCGGGAAUACGAAGGGGGCUAGCGUUGUUCGGAAUUACUGGGCGUAAAGCGCGCGUAGGCGAACAUUUAAGUCAGGGGUGAAAUCCCGGGGCUCAACCCCGGAGCUGCCUCUGAUACUGGGUGUCUAGAGCUCGGAAGAGGUAAGUGGAAUUGCGAGUGUAGAGGUGAAAUUCGUAGAUAUUCGCAGGAACACCAGAGGCAAAGGCGACUUACUGGUCCGAUACUGACGCUGAGGUGCGAAAGCGUGGGGAGCAAACAGGAUUAGAUACCCCUGUAGUCCCUGUCUCUUAUAC